GCCUGGCUAGCUCAAUCGGUAGAGCGUGAGACUCUUAUUCCAAGGUCAUCUCAAGGCUGUGGGUUCAAGCCCCACGUCGGGCU
rfam:Yarrowia lipolytica strain CLIB122 chromosome A complete sequence.